GCCGGGGUAGCUCAGUGGUAGAGCAGAGGACUGAAAAUCCUUGUGUCGGCAGUUCGAUCCUGCCUCCCGGCA
rnacentral:tRNA from 1 species